rnacentral:rRNA from 1 species
GAUGAACGCUGGCGGUGUGCCUAAUACAUGCAAGUCGAGCGAACAGACGAGGAGCUUACUCCUCUGACGUUAGCGGCGGACGGGUGAGUAACACGUGGAUAACCUACCUAUAAGACUGGGAUAACUUCGGGAAACCGGAGCUAAUACCGGAUAACAUGUUGAACCGCAUGGUUCAACAGUGAAAGACGGUCUUGCUGUCACUUAUAGAUGGAUCCGCGUCGCAUUAGCUAGUUGGUAAGGUAACGGCUUACCAAGGCAACGAUGCGUAGCCGACCUGGGAGGGUGAUCGGCCACACUGGAACUGAGACACGGUCCAGACUCCUACGGGAGGCAGCAGUAGGGAAUCUUCCGCAAUGGACGAAAGCCUGACGGAGCAACGCCGCGUGAGUGAAGAAGGUCUUCGGAUCGUAAAACUCUGUUAUUAGGGAAGAACAAAUGUGUAAGUAACUAUGCACGUCUUGACGGUACCUAAUCAGAAAGCCACGGCUAACUACGUG